AUAUUCCAAAGGGUGCAGAUGAAGAGAUGCAUAGGGAAAGGUAUGAGGGAAGGCUCACAAAGCUUCAAUGUUCUCUCCGGCCUUGCUAUCUUCCAGGAACCUCCACAUGUUCCGUUUUCUGGAAGCUCUUCAAACUCUUUCCUCUUGGGCCUUCUAUGGAAAUUUCAUUGAAUAGGCAUGACUGAAGCAUGAACAACUGUGUACAAAUGCAAUUGGACAAAGGGGUAUAAUCUAAUAGUCACAGACUGAGUGGGAAAAUCCAGCAAGGUCUGUCGGUGGAGAUUUCAUCUUGGCCUCUGUGCAGCAUUCCUUUCUCCAUGGUAUGGCACAGGACCGCCUCUGAAAUGCAGCUCAUAUGACCUAUGAUCAAACAAGGUGAAGACACGGUCAGAAGAAUCAUCUUUGAACCAGAAAGCUGGACCUCACCAGACACUGAAUCUGGCGGUGCCUUCAUCUUGAACUUUCCAGCCUCCAAAUAGGUGAAAAAUAAAUUUCUGUUGUUUAUAAGCUAUUCUGUUUAAAUUAUUUGAUUAUUGCAGCCCAAAUAGAUGAAGCCAAAAAGUUAUAUUAGCCCC
rnacentral:lncRNA from 1 species